GCCCGGCUGCGCGGGGGGAGCGGCGGCAGCGCCCGGGGCGUCCCGCGGGACACGGGGGAAACGGGACACCUCUGAAUGGAUAUCCCAUUCCAUCAGUUUAUCCUUUGGGGAUCCCUCUGUGCUGCCAGAACAGAGACAGGAGCAACCUAAAAAUGCAGCCCAAAUGUCCCAAGCUUCUCCACUCCACAAAAAGGGGAUUUGAGGCUGUUUUUUCACGGAAUUCCAACAGCCCCGGGCACUGCAAUUGGCCUUUGGGAUGAGCAGCAAAUCCCAAUUUCCUCGGAUCACGGCAAGGAGAUCUGCCCCAAAUAUUGAAAAGAAAUGUCCAUGGAAUUUAAUUCCAGCAGCAGGGAUGAACCUCAAGGAGAAAGUGUCCAUGGAGGAGCUUGGAACAAAGAAUUUAUCCAAGCAGGAUCAUUCCCAGAAAUCUCCUGGGAGCUGGAUAACUCUGACCUUAUCUGGCUUUAGGAACACCUGUUGUUCCCACAAUUUUCACUUCACUAUUUCCAAUUCUUCUUCCACUUUUCCUUUUACUUCUGCUUCUGUUUUCUGGAGAAAACCACCAAGAGAAGGGAUCCUGGCAAACCACAGGAAAAGAAGGAAAACAGAACGCGGUGGAGAUGAAAAAAAAAAAAACCCAAAACAAUAAAUUUCUGCUCCUGCUGUUAUUUUUUUUUUUUCAGUAACUGCAAAGCCAGAUAAAAAAAUUCCUUGUCAAGGUUUUUUUCAGGAAAAAACAGAGCCUUCCCAAACAAUGAUCCCACUUCA